AGCGCGGACGCUCUCACGCACGGCGUGAGUUCGUCCCUCUGCGCACGCCCCGGUUUCCUCGCGUCCGCGGCUGCUCACCCGAACUCCAGAUGACCUCCAGGGAGUUGGAAACUGCCAGCUCCAAUCGAGCCUUUCCUUUUCCCCAGGAGGACGCAACGCGGAUGCUUGCAGCUGGUCACCACGACUCCGACUCCGACUCCGGGCCGCCGCCCGGGCAGCUUUCCGCUGGCCGUCAUAGCGCGCGGGAGGACGCGCCUGGCAGCAGCAGGAAGUGACGCGCUCACUGCCCCGUCCCGCGGCCGCAGCCAAUCUCUCCCCGCGAGGGCGGAGGCGCCGAAAUCAAAGCGAGAGCGCCUGGGCCUCUCCAGUUGUCCGCGGGUCUUGCUCUGUUGCCUAGGCUGGAGUGCAGUGGUACAAUCACGGCUCACUGUAGCCUUGACCUCCUGGGAUCAAGGUCUUGCUGGAGGUUUGUUAAAUUUAAUCUUUUCAAAAACCAGAUCCUUGGCUGGGUGUGGUUGCCCACACCUGUCAUCUGAGCACUUUGGGAGGCUGAGGCAGGAGGAUCGCUUGAACCCAUGAGUUGGAGACCAGCCUGGGCAACAUAGAGAGAUUCUGUCCCUAAAAAAAUAAAAUAAAAAAAUUAACCAAGCCUGGUGGCACACAUCUGUGGUCCCAAACUACUCCAGAGGCUGAGGUGGGAGGAUCCCUUGAGCAUGGGAGGUUGAGGCUGCAGUGAGCCGUGAUCGAGUCACUGCACUCCAGCCUGGGUGACAGACCAAGACCCUGUCAAUCAGUCAAUCAAUCAAUCAAUCAAUAGCUUCCCUGGAGACUCCAUUCUGCCACCAGCUUUGGUAACUAGGGGUCGACUGUCAGGCCUCUGAGCUCAAACCUGCACAUGUACAUCCAGAUGGCCUGAAGCAAGUGAAGAAUCACAAAUGAAGGGAAAUUGGCCAGUUCCUGCCUUAACUGAUGACAUUCCACCAUUGUGAUUUGUUCCUGCCCCACCUCAACUGAGCGAUUAACCUUGUGAAAUUCCUUCUCCUGGCUCAGAACCUCCCCCACUGAGCACCUUGUGACCCCCACCCCUGCCCAUAAGAGAAAAACCCCCUUUGACUGUAAUUUUCCACUACUCAUCCAAAUCCUAUAAAACAGCCCCACCCAUAUCUCCCUUUGCUGACUCUUUUUGGGACUCAGCCCGCCUGCACCCAGUUAAAAUAAACAGCCUUAUUGCUCACACAAA